GUUGGGUGUGGUGGCGCACGCCUGUAAUCCUAGCUACUCGGGAGGCUGAGGCAGGAGAAUUGCUUGAACUCAGGAGGUGGAGGUUGCAGUGAGUUGAAAUUGCGCCACUGCACUCCUGCCUGGGUGACAGAGCGAGAUUCUGUUUCAG
rfam:Pan troglodytes isolate Yerkes chimp pedigree #C0471 (Clint) chromosome 16, whole genome shotgun sequence.